rnacentral:rRNA from 1 species
AUUGAACGCUGGCGGCAUGCUUUACACAUGCAAGUCGAACGGUAACAGGGAGCUUGCUCCGCUGACGAGUGGCGAACGGGUGAGUAAUAUAUCGGAACGUACCCAGAAGUGGGGGAUAACGUAGCGAAAGUUACGCUAAUACCGCAUACGAUCUACGGAUGAAAGUAGGGGACCUUCGGGCCUUAUGCUUUUGGAGCGGCCGAUAUCUGAUUAGCUAGUUGGUGAGGUAAAGGCUCACCAAGGCGACGAUCAGUAGCUGGUCUGAGAGGACGACCAGCCACACUGGAACUGAGACACGGUCCAGACUCCUACGGGAGGCAGCAGUGGGGAAUUUUGGACAAUGGGCGCAAGCCUGAUCCAGCAAUGCCGCGUGAGUGAAGAAGGCCUUCGGGUUGUAAAGCUCUUUUGUCAGGGAAGAAACGGUAGAGGCUAAUAUCCUUUGCUAAUGACGGUACCUGAAGAAUAAACACCGGCUAACUACGUGCCAGCCGCCGCAGUAA